GCAUUGGUGUUUCAGUGGUAGAAUUCUUGCCUUCUAUGUGGGAGACACGGAUUCGAUCCCUGACCAGUGCA
rnacentral:tRNA from 1 species